rnacentral:rRNA from 1 species
AGCGAACAUUGGCGGUAGGCUUAACACAUGCAAGUCGAGCGAGGCGUAAUAGUCGAGCGGCGAACGGGUGAGUAAUACAUGGGAAUCUACCCUGAAGUGGGGGAUAACGUUCAGAAAUGGACGCUAAUACCGCAUAAUCCACAUUGGGAAAGCGUUGCAGCGCUUUAGGAUGAGCCCAUGGCUGAUUAGCUAGUUGGUGAGGCAACGGCUCACCAAGGCGACGAUCAGUAGCUGGUCUGAGAGGAUGAUCAGCCACACUGGAACUGAGACACUGUCCAGACUCCUACGGGCGGCAGCAGUGGGGAAUCUUGCGCAAUGGGGGCAACCCUGACGCAGCCAUACCGCGUGAGUGAUGAAGGUCUUCGGAUUGUAAAGCUCUGUCGGCGGGGACGACGAUGACGGUACCCGCAAAAGAAGUCACGGCUAACUUCGUGCCAGCCGCCGCCGUAA